GCACGACGCCGCGGUGAUGGGCUCUGCACCGCGCUCACCCAGGAUGGAGGGAAGGAAGAAGGAAAGGAAGAGGAGAGGAUCCGCUGCCAGCAUCGCCCAGCUCUGCCCCACCAGGAUUCGCUCCGGGAUUCGCUCCGGGGGCCGGAUUUGAGGAGCGAAGCCCCCGUCGGCGCCGAGCCCCGUCCCCUGUGAGCUUCCCUUUGUCAUCCUAUGCCUGAGCGAUGCCUGGAGGCUGGGACGGCGAAGGGAAGCCCACGGCCGGGCCAGCCCCGCGGCGAGGACGCGGCCCCCCAACGCGGCGUCGGGACGAGCGGGGGGCUGGAGCUGGGCUGGGGGUGCAAUUAGUGACUCGUGGUAAUUUGCAGGGCGAGAAGCUGUCGGAGGAACCGAA